rnacentral:sRNA from 1 species
AUUUCUGGGUAAACGUAAGCAUCCGGUUGCUAAUGCCCAUAAUCCAAAUGUGUCACUGCAGAGUAGACAGAACUCUUACAGAAAUAAAAUACAGAACUUUCCAGAAGCAGCAGGAGCUGGACACGGUGCUCAUGUCUAUAACCUCAGCAACUCUGGAGGAGUCACCUGAGCCCAGGUGUUUUUUCUUUUUGUUUUUGAGAUGGGUCUUGCUCUAUUGCCCAGACUGGAGUGCAGUGGCAUGAUCAUAGCUCACUGCAGCCUCGAUCUCCUAGGCUCAAGUGAUCCUCCCACCUCAGCCUCCUGAGUAUCUGGGACCACAAGAGUGCAUAAGCACACCCAGCUAAUUUUUAAAUUUUUGGCAGAGAUGGGAAUCUCCCUAUGUUGCCCAGGCUGGUCUUGAACUUCUGGGCUCAAAUGAUCCUCCUGCCUCAGCCUCCCAAAGCACUGGGAUUACAGGUGUGAGCCACCGCACCCGGCCAAGCCUAGGAGUUUGAGGCUGCAGUGAGCUGUGAUCACGCCACUGCACUCCAGCCUUGGCAACAGAAUGAGACCCUGUCUCAAAACCAAAAACACCACACACAACUGAAGCUUAUAACAGAUGUGAAAUUGGCGUAGGUCAUUCUGGAAGCUGCACACAUUAGCAGGAUGUUUUGUAGAGCCAUCUUCACACAAAAUAAGGUUUGCUUUUUUCUGCAUAGAGUACCUUAUUUGCUUUUAGGACAUUACAAGAGAGCACAAAGCAGUGAUCUGCAUGCUAAGGAGGACAUGGAGAGCCUGGAGCCACAGAACUGAGUGGCUGGAGGCCAGGGUCCAGCACAGAGCAAAGUUGGGCACCCCCUGCCCAGUUAAAAUGAGGAAACCCUCCAGGGGGAACGCGUCUCGGGCUAGGGGUGUUGCACAGAGUGGGGACUGAGUGUCACUGGGCAUGAGGUUGUCAGAGGAAAGAACGGGGACCCCUGUGGCUCAGGGAGAGCCUCCCGUGCAGCGCUAGGGAGCGCACGAGGGGCAUCGAGAUGAUGUCAUCACCAAUGUGUUUCCAUUCCAGAUCGGGCCCGGGACACCCAGACAGAUGAGAUUGUCGCGCUGAAGAAGGUGCGGAUGGACAAGGAGAAGGAUGGCAUCCCCAUCAGCAGCUUGCGGGAGAUCACGCUGCUGCUCCGCCUGCGUCAUCCGAACAUCGUGGAGCUGAAGGAGGUGGUUGUGGGGAACCACCUGGAGAGUAUCUUCCUGGUGAUGGGUUACUGUGAGCAGGACCUGGCC